AUGAUCCGCAGUGCGGGGUCGCUCAGGCCCCGCGCUGAGAGCGCAGUAACAAAACAAGGACGGUAAGCCA
rnacentral:ncRNA from 1 species